rnacentral:rRNA from 1 species
UUGGCUUAGAAGCAGCCAUCCUUGAAAGAGUGCGUAAUAGCUCACUGGUCAAGUGAUCGUGCGCCGACAAUGUAGCGGGGCUCAAGCACACCGCCGAAGCCGCGGACCCAUAACGUUGUUCCCUUCAUCGUGCGCCUUGUGCGUGUGGUGGCAGGGGUUGUGGGUGGUAGGGGAGCGUCCUGCACCGGGGGAAGCCUGUGGGUGACUGCUGGUGGACGGUGCGGGAGUGAGAAUGCAGGCAUGAGUAGCGAUACUAGGGUGAGAAGCCCUAGCGCCGAAUGACCAAGGGUUCCAGGGCCAGGCUAGUCCGCCCUGGGUGAGUCGGGACCUAAGGCGAGGCCGACAGGCGUAGUCGAUGGAUGACGGGUUGAUAUUCCCGUACCGGCGAAGCACCGCCCAUGCUGACGCGCGGGUGCUAACCCACGCCCAGCCGUCAUAUAGGCCGCAUGUGUCAGGUUCGCCUGACGGUGUGGUUGUGGUGGUGGGGUCUGGGGAUCCUCCGUGCAGGUAGGCAAGCGUGUUAACAGGGGUGACGCACAGUGGUAGCCCGGCGGACCUGAUGGCUUGGUCCGUUCAAGCGCGCAGCCCGUCCUCCAGGUAAAUCCGGGGUGACUGUCUUUGAUGACGGGGGUGAGGCGUGAUGGUGACCCCACUCUGGUGGGGGAUAGCAGGGUGAUCCUGGGGUGCCGAGAAAAGCCUCGACGCGAUGGUGCCAGCCGCCCGUACCCUAAACCGACACAGGUGGUCGGGCAGAGUAUGCCUAGGCGCACGAGUGAAUCAUGGUUAAGGAACUCGGCAAAAUGCCCCCGUAACUUCGGGAGAAGGGGGGCCUGAGCUUUGAAGCCCCUUCGCGGGCUAGGAGCAAGGGUCGCAGAGAACAGGGGGGAGCGACUGUUUACUAAAAACACAGGUCCGUGCGAAGCCGUAAGGCGAUGUAUACGGACUGACGCCUGCCCGGUGCUGGAAGGUUAAGAGGAACCAUCAACCCCCUCGUGGGGUGAAGUGGUGAAUUUAAGCCCCAGUAAACGGCGGUGGUAACUAUAACCAUCCUAAGGUAGCGAAAUUCCUUGUCGGGUAAGUUCCGACCUGCACGAAUGGCGUAACGACUUCCCUACUGUCUCAACCAUGAGCUCGGCGAAAUUGCACUACGAGUAAAGAUGCUCGUUUCGCGCAGAAGGACGGAAAGACCCCGGGACCUUUACUACAGCUUGGUAUUGGCGCCCGCUAUAGCUUGUGCAGGAUAGGUGGGAGACUGUGAAGCCGUUACGCCAGUGGCGGUGGAGUCGUCCUUGAAAUACCACUCUGGUUAUGGCGUGCGCCUGAACCUGGGCCCGUGAUCCGGGUUAGGGACAGUGCCUGGUGGGUAGUUUAACUGGGGCGGUUGCCUCCUAAAGUGUAACGGAGGCGCUCAAAGGUUCCCUCAGCCUGGUCGGCAACCAGGUGUUGAGUGCAAGUGCACAAGGGAGCUUGACUGUGAGACCGACGGGUCGAGCAGGUACGAAAGUAGGAACUAGUGAUCCGGCGAUCCCGUGUGGGUGGGUCGUCGCUCAACGGAUAAAAGGUACCCCGGGGAUAACAGGCUGAUCCUGCCCAAGAGUCCAUAUCGACGGCAUGGUUUGGCACCUCGAUGUCGGCUCGUCGCAUCCUGGGGCUGGAGCAGGUCCCAAGGGUUGGGCUGUUCGCCCAUUAAAGCGGUACGCGAGCUGGGUUUAGAACGUCGUGAGACAGUUCGGUCCCUAUCCUCUGCGCGCGCAGGAGACUUGAGAAGGCCUGUCCCUAGUACGAGAGGACCGGGACGGACGAACCUCUGGUGUGCCAGUUGUCCCGCCCGGGGCACGGCUGGUUGGCUACGUUCGGGAAGGGUAACCGCUGAAAGCAUCUAAGCGGGAAACCAUCUUCAAGAUAAGGUCUCCACAAGAAGGACUUGUCCUUCUUGGUAGGCCCCCAGCAGACUACUGGGUUGAUAGGCCAGAAGUGGAAGACCGGCAACGGUUUUGAGCUGACUGGUACUAAUAGGCCAACACAAACAACA